GUGCCAGCCGCCGCGGUAAGACGUACCACCCAAACGUUAUUCGGAAUCACUGGGCUUAAAGAGUCCGUAGGCGGUCAGGAAAGUUGGGUGUGAAAUACCUCAGCUCAACUGAGGAAUUGCGCUCAAAACUACCUGGCUCGAGAAAGACAGAGGUGAGCGGAACUGAUGGUGGAGCGGUGAAAUGCAUUGAUAUCAUCAGGAACACCGGUGGCGAAAGCGGCUCACUGGGUCUUUUCUGACGCUGAGGGACGAAAGCUAGGGGAGCGAACGGGAUUAGAUACCCUAGUAGUCC
rnacentral:rRNA from 1 species